AAUGAAGUGUCUGAAAAAAGAAUUAUUUUGAUAGAAUAAAGCAUGUAAAUAACUUUACCUUCAUUA
rnacentral:tRNA from 1 species